rnacentral:rRNA from 1 species
AUAUUGGACAAUGGGUGGAAGCCUGAUCCAGCCAUCCCGCGUGUAGGAUGACGGCCUUAUGGGUUGUAAACUACUUUUAUCUGGGGAUAAACCUACUUACGUGUAAGUAGCUGAAGGUACCAGAAGAAUAAGCACCGGCUAACUCCGUGCCAGCAGCCGCGGUAAUACGGAGGGUGCAAGCGUUAUCCGGAUUUAUUGGGUUUAAAGGGUCCGUAGGCGGAUUAAUCAGUCAGUGGUGAAAUCUCAUAGCUUAACUAUGAAACUGCCAUUGAUACUGUUAGUCUUGAGUGAUGUUGAAGUUGCUGGAAUGUGUAGUGUAGCGGUGAAAUGCUUAGAUAUUACGCAGAACACCAAUUGCGAAGGCAGGUGACUAAACAUUAACUGACGCUGAUGGACGAAAGCGUGGGGAGCGAACAGG